UCAGAUUGAACGCUGGCGGCAGGCCUAACACAUGCAAGUCGAGCGGUAGAGAGAAGCUUGCUUCUCUUGAGAGCGGCGGACGGGUGAGUAAUGCCUAGGAAUCUGCCUGGUAGUGGGGGAUAACGUUCGGAAACGGACGCUAAUACCGCAUACGUCCUACGGGAGAAAGCAGGGGACCUUCGGGCCUUGCGCUAUCAGAUGAGCCUAGGUCGGAUUAGCUAGUUGGUGAGGUAAUGGCUCACCAAGGCGACGAUCCGUAACUGGUCUGAGAGGAUGAUCAGUCACACUGGAACUGAGACACGGUCCAGACUCCUACGGGAGGCAGCAGUGGGGAAUAUUGGACAAUGGGCGAAAGCCUGAUCCAGCCAUGCCGCGUGUGUGAAGAAGGUCUUCGGAUUGUAAAGCACUUUAAGUUGGGAGGAAGGGUUGUAGAUUAAUACUCUGCAAUUUUGACGUUACCGACAGAAUAAGCACCGGCUAACUCUGUGCCAGCAGCCGCGGUAAUACAGAGGGUGCAAGCGUUAAUCGGAAUUACUGGGCGUAAAGCGCGCGUAGGUGGUUUGUUAAGUUGGAUGUGAAAUCCCCGGGCUCAACCUGGGAACUGCAUUCAAAACUGACUGACUAGAGUAUGGUAGAGGGUGGUGGAAUUUCCUGUGUAGCGGUGAAAUGCGUAGAUAUAGGAAGGAACACCAGUGGCGAAGGCGACCACCUGGACUAAUACUGACACUGAGGUGCGAAAGCGUGGGGAGCAAAC
rnacentral:rRNA from 1 species